UCUUGGUCAAUUUAGAGGAAGUAAAAGUCGUAACAAGGUUUCCGUAGGUGAACCUGCGGAAGGAUCAUUAAAGAGACGUUGCCCUUCGGGGUAUACCUCCCACCCUUUGUUUAUUAUACCUUUGUUGCUUUGGCGGGCCCGUCCUCGGACCACCGGCUUCGGCUGGUCAGUGCCCGCCAGAGGACCUAAAACUCUGUUUGUUCAUAUUGUCUGAGUACUAUAUAAUAGUUAAAACUUUCAACAACGGAUCUCUUGGUUCUGGCAUCGAUGAAGAACGCAGCGAAAUGCGAUAAGUAAUGUGAAUUGCAGAAUUCAGUGAAUCAUCGAAUCUUUGAACGCACAUUGCGCCCCCUGGUAUUCCGGGGGGCAUGCCUGUUCGAGCGUCAUUACAACCCUCAAGCUCUGCUUGGUAUUGGGCUCUGCCGGUCCCGGCAGGCCUUAAAAUCAGUGGCGGUGCCAUUCGGCUUCAAGCGUAGUAAUUCUUCUCGCUUUGGAGACCCGGGUGCGUGCUUGCCAGCAACCCCCAAUUUUUUCAGGUUGACCUCGGAUCAGGUAGGGAUACCCGCUGAACUUAAGCAUAUCAA
rnacentral:rRNA from 1 species